AUUGAACGCUGGCGGCAGGCCUAACACAUGCAAGUCGAGCGAGCGGCGGACGGGUGAGUAAUGUCUGGGAAACUGCCUGAUGGAGGGGGAUAACUACUGGAAACGGUAGCUAAUACCGCAUACCAUCAGAUGUGCCCAGGUGGGAUUAGCUAGUAGGUGGGUGAACGGCUCACCUAGGCGACGAACCCUAGCCGGACGGAGAGGAGGAUCAGCCACACUGUAACUGAGACACGGUCCAGACUCCUACGGUAGGCAGCAGUGGGGAAUAUUGCACAAUGGGCGCAAGCCUGAUGCAGCCAUGCCGCGUGUGUGAAGAAGGCCUUCGGAUUGUAAAGCACUUUCAGCGGGGAGGCGUUACCCGCAGAAGAAGCACCGGCUAACUCCGUGCCAGCAGCCGCGGUAAUAC
rnacentral:rRNA from 1 species